rnacentral:rRNA from 1 species
GACGAACGCUGGCGGCGUGCUUAACACAUGCAAGUCGAACGGUGAAGCGCCUUCCUUUUUGGUGGGUGUGGAUGAGUGGCGAACGGGUGAGUAACACGUCAGUAACCUGCCCCCUUCUUCUGGAUAACCGCAUGAAAGUGUGGCUAAUACGGGAUAUUCUGGGUCUGUCGCAUGAUGGGUCUGGGAAAGUUAUUGUUUCGGUGGUGGAUGGGCUCGCGGCCUAUCAGCUUGUUGGUGGGGUGAUGGCCUACCAAGGCGGUGACGGGUAGCCGGCCUGAGAGGGCGGAAGGUGACACGGGAGGUGGGACACGGCCCAGGCGACUACGGGACGCAGCAGUGGGGUACAGUGCACAGCGGGCGGAAGCCUGAUGCAGCGAGGCCGAGUGUGGGCGGGACGCGUUCGGGGUGUGAACCUGUUUCUAGGGAAGCAGGGCUGCCUCGUCUGUGGGUGGGUUGACGGUAGCUGGAUAAGAAGCGCCGGCUAACUACGUG